GUGUUUCCUAUGAAAUUUCUUUAUGAAAGAAUUUUCUAUUUCCUAUGAAAUUGACGUGCUAGUUAUCACUUAUCAUAGACCAUCAUACGGAUAAAGCUUUCUAUUUUUUUUUUGGUAAAUGAGAGGAGACAAUUGUCUCCCACUUUUAUUUAACUAAAAAGAAUUAUAUCCGAACUCGAACUCGACGCGAGCGCUCAGCCCCUACAACAUCCUCAAACAGAAUCAACUCCAAAUUAGACGGACAAAAAGCAAAACUACGAAAACCAACAGGGUAAGAAAAAGCAAGGUUAGCUAGUCCAUCUGCAAGACGGUUCGCCUUCCUAUAGACAUGUGAAAACCGGACUAUCCAGUCCCUAGAAAUGAAGCCAUAGCACAAGCGUACUAGGAAGGACAGGGGGUACGUAUCACUUAUACCUGUCUGAAAGAAACCCACCACAAUCUCCGAGUUUACCUCGAUUUCUAGUCUUGAAACCCGAUGUUCCCAAGCCAUGAACAAACCGUAGUAAACUCCCCAAAGCUCAGCUAAAGGUGCUGAACAGAAGCCAAUAUUACACGCGAAUCCACUCUUCCAAUUGCCCUCAGAAUCCCUUAACACGCCACCUGCAGUUGCGAGACCUGGAUUUCCUCGUGAAGCCCCAUCAGUAUUCAACUUCAUCCAUCCAUUAGACGGCGGUUUCCAUGCUAUAAAUCUCUCAACUCGCUGUACUUGAAUCCGUCCUUCUCCUUGGUUCUCAUACGCUAAUUGAACCUCACGAGCCACAUCCUUAACAAACUUUACCCGAUCUCUGCAUUUUUUAUUCUCGCCGAAAAUAUCUCCACAUCGCCAUUUCCACCCCCACCAUACUGCCAUAGCGAAAAGAGUAGCCCAUUCAAUAUUCUCCACUUCACUCUUCAUUCCCAAAUUUUCAUACACCCAUUCCAAAACCGACUUAGAGAAAAACGCUGCAUACACGGAUAAAGCUUUCUAUUGUUGUUGAUGAAAUCAUACGGAGAGAGUCUUGUAACAGCUAGAAGAUGUUUUUAAAUUAACUAUUUAUCUGUACUCCACUUUUUUUUCUCUCAAGGUGAUUAUUAAAUAAGGAUUAGUCAAAUCAGUCAUUGGAAGACAUGCAAUCUUUUCAUUUUUCAGCUUGUCGUCGGUUAGAUUUCAUUUCCGUUUUUUUUUUUUUUUUUUUUUGGGUAAGUAGUUGUAAAACAUGUAAUCAAAUGAUGUUUGAAUAUUUCUUUUCAAUGUCCAACAUGUACAUGUUUUCGGUUUUCAAUUUUGUCAAGAAAUAAUAUGGAAAGAUAUAAAAACCAGAUUGAAUAAUGAAGAAAACCGACGAAUCAAAACUAUGCUACUAUACCGUGGGUUUGAUUGAUCACAUGAGUUUCCACAUGUUCAUUACAUCUUUUUUUUUUUAAGUUACCCGAAAAUUAAGUUUCAAGAUAGAAGAACAAAGCUAACACGUUAUAAGGACAAACAAAGAUAGAGGUUGUUUGAGUCAGGUUUAUACCAGAAAGUUAACCAUUUUCCGGUUACUGUCGUGUUGAUGAGCUAAUGAACAAUUGACCAGUGACCAAAGCAUGAAAAAUUGAUAAGAGAGUAUGAGAUUCUCUGAAACUUUAACAGAAACUAAUUGAAGCUUGUGUUGUGUUCAUUUUUAUGAGAUGUACAGAGUAACAAUAUAUUAAAAAAUGGCUAUUGGGUCCGUAUAAAGUGUGACACUAUCAAGAACGACAAAACUAAUUGAAUCUACAGAAGAAGGAUUUCAAAUAUAUCUUCCUUAUGAAUGUGUUGCCAUGCGUGUGCUCUCUGUUUACUUACCGGAAAGGUCCAGCCGAGGGAGCCUAAACAUCCGCUUGUGUAAGUCUCAGGGGUCAAAAAGUUAAGAAGGAGAGAGUUCGGGCUCCUCCACAAACCAAUAGGUCUCUCCUCAAGGGACAAAUAUAUAUAUUUGUUUAUAUGGAAGUGAUGAGACCGGUUUGGUUUGUGCAUAGACAUGAGCAGUUUGGCUCCGUUAAGUUUCUUAGGACGAGGCGUUUGUCGCGGUUACUCAUUAGCUUGAUGAGCGGUAGCUUCUGAGAGACUUGACGCCAGAUUUCCUUUACUGCUCCAUUUGGAUUCUCAUAGUCAAAAUACCGUCUUACCUGUGUGCAUUAUUGCGGGUAUGAGAAAUGUGACCAAAACAUGUAAAAGAAUCAAAUAUUCUAAGAGAUUAGAGUUUGAAUAGAAGGAGAAGGUACCGAUUGCAUCUCUCUUUGAUACUCCAGAAUCUUCUUGGUUUUUAUUUUCCUUAGCAUCUGAACCAGAAAUCCGGGCUCCAGGGCUGCGUUGGCCUCAACAAAAAUCGAGAACUUUCUGUAAUCUAUAACAUCUUCGAAAGGUAACUCGAUGCUAUCGCUUACAAUCACAGGCACACAUAAACUGACUAUGGAGUCGAAGAGUCUGCAAGCGGAUGGAGUGUCACCCGCAGGAUUAAGACAGAACUUUGAAGUAUGCAUUCCUUUUGUAGCAGCUCGUCGGUUCUCUCUGGACUGAGUUCCAUGUUUUAUUGUAACAUCUUCUUCCUUUUCAAGAACUUGGAAGAGCAAGUCACGAACUUUUCCACCCUGAAGAGACCCAAAGAAGCAGUCAGAAGGAAAUCGAAAAUUGUCCUUUUCGAGAGAGACAACUUAAUGCGAUUUUGAGUCACCAAUGCUGUAUCUUUUCCACUAAUAAUAGGAUUAACACAAGAGUAUAAUAUAUAAUCCUUCAUCUAUGAGUCAAAAGAAUUGUAUGUAAAUGAAGAACUCUCUGUUUCUUAUAAUUAUGAGCUUGUAAUGAGUUCCCAGAGAAAACGUUUGUUGCAUCUUUACUUCGAAAGGGACUCUUCGUAGCAUGUAACUCGACACAGCCAUUAAAUCACAGAGCUCCUUUGGAUCACAAGAAAAGCUACAGAUUCACUCUUAACACAACUACCAGUCUGUUAAAGCCAUCAAGUUUCAACAUAUAUCGUUAUUCGUUAGUCAUUUUCCUCUAGAAUCAUACCGUUUCCUAUUCACCCUACACUAGCUGAACAAUCUCUUUAGACACCUAAAACCUUAGAAAGCUACAGAAAUGGAAGAAACAAACAUUUCGAAGCUCUAAUCAUUCAAAUUUCCAAGAAAUGAGCAAAGGCGAAACAAACUUACAUCUUUGCGAUAUCGAUUUCCCAUGAAGAAGAGUAAUGUGUUGCGAGACUCAACUCCGAUUUCCCCAUUGAAGAGAUUGACCCUAUGAGAGUAAGGUAUCACUACAUCCUUGACGAACGAUCCUUGAUCAGGCCUCAGCCGCCCAAAAUCCGCCACAAGCAGAACCGCGUUCUUAACCCGGUCCAGGAUCCGAUACAACGCAUUCGGGUCUCCGGCGGGUAUCACGUGAUCUCGCCCUUCGUUCCUCCUCCACCACUCUUGACGCUCAAGCCAUUCCAUCAACCCCUCCUGCAUCUUCUCAUCGCUGUAACCGGAUCCGGGUUCGACUGGGCGACCCGCAUUCACGAUUAAGCUGAGGGAAGAGAACACCGGGACGUAGAAGAGAUCAGCGUCGGCAGGAUCCAUGACGCGGGUAAUCGGAGACCCGGAUCGAUCCACCUCGGGUCGGUUCAGAUCCGAGAAAAGGUACCACUCGUGCAUAUGCUGAUGACCCGGAUACUUGAGCGUGGCCACGUCAUCGACGGGCUUCUUGAGCCCGCCGCGAACGAUGGCGUGCUGCUCGAUUACACCGUAAGUGAAUCUCCGGGGAAGAUCGUACAUGUAAACCCUAACUCUAGGCUGAAUCGGAGCACGUCCCUCGUCAUCUUCGUCGCGGAAGAGCUGACGGGGGAGAUCGGAUGAGGAAGGGAGGGAGCGACUAACGGAGGCGUUGAGAAUAACGUAGAUGGCGAUGACGGAGACGACGGCGAUGGCUGCUCGUUUGAGGAGGGAAGAUUUACGCGCCAUUGGAGGAAGGAGAAUGAAGAAAGUUAGGGAUUUUCAGGUGAGAGAUUGAAGAAUGUUACUUAGCUCAAGAGUCAGACUAAUGAAGAUGACUGUAGUAAUUUGUUCUUGCCUAACAGUUACGCAGCUAAUUAUUUAAUUUUAACAGUAGUUAUCUGAAAAACGUAAAUAACAAAUUCAAGCUAAAUUAUACAUGAAAUUUGUUACAUUUUGCUUUACGUAAAUUUAUGAAAUUACCAAGAAAAAUAUGCGUAUUGGGUUUCAUGAAUUACAACAAGUACAAAUCUAAUCUCUCUACAUAAUUGUUUUUUUUUUGUGGGAAAAAGAAACAAAAUUCGUCUCUUUCGUAGAAUGUGCUAGUGUUCUUGCUUAGUGAUGCUGUUUAUAAGAGAUGGGACCAGAUCUUGAGACAGCAAACCUUGGAAGUGGACUAGGACCUGUGCUGUUCGAUCCUGACCCACCUUUAUGGCUCGAGCUGUAAUCUAACGGUCCAGAACGACGAGAACCACCUCUUGGUUUGUUGUUCUCAUUGCUCCUUGAGUUUCCAAUUUCCGGUUCGUUGUAGUGAUCCUGGCUGUAGACAGAGGAUGAUGAGCCUUUGAAGUAUCCUGAAUCCGCAGCUGCUGCGGCACUACCGCUGCUACCGCUACCACGCUGGGGAGUGGUGGAGUUUUUCAUGGAGGGAGAAGCGUGGAUGAGUGAUACUGAUGGGGAAUGGUGCGGCGAUGCAGUUGCGAGCGGUGUGGACGGUGUGUUGGAGUAGUAUUGGGUGUAGAUUGACCUGAGGAUGGUGUAUGGUACAUGUGAUUCAAGAGAGCUUCUUGGGAGGUAUGGUGAGAUCUCACAGAGUUGGUCUAGGAAGAUAAGCUUAGCUACAAGAUGAGAUCUGCAGAGAACAAGGAAGAUGGUAUGAUGAUGCGUUAGGAUAAAAAUGAGUGGAAGAGGGAAAAGCAUCCCAUAUGUUUCUCUUACCUGUUUGCUUCGCUCCAUGAAUCUAGCACGAUCGAUGCGGCGAAUUUUACAAAGAGUAGCAUUGCGGAUUUGAUGCUUGCUUCAGCGGUUACACGGGUUUGAAACUCUGCGUCGAUGUUUUCAGUGGAGUGAUGACCGUUGGAGAGGGGCUGAUGCUGCUGCUGGUAUUCACGCUGUAACCUCACGUAUUCAGUUCCCGCGAUGACGGCGCUAAUACACCGAGCCAAGCAAUGGAUGUUGUUGCUGAAUCCGCCGGUUUCGAUGUUGAAGCCAGUUGAGUUCCAGGCGCUCGAGGUCAUGAAUGAGGCGAAAAAGUAAGGUAACAAACUCCAUGCGUUGUCAUUUGCACUUCCUACCUCUUCGAGUAUUAAUCUAACCCAUUCAGAGUCAUGAUCUCCAGCUGCACCAAUGCCAUUCGCCACGCCUUUGAUCCUUCUGAUUUCUUUCUUUUCAGGUAUUUCUUCGGGUAUGUGCUCAACGAUGCCAGUGAUCAUCGAGUGUAUCAAGGAUGCAUUGUCUUCAAGAACAGCUCCAGAGGCUUCGGCUAGGAGCUCAUCAAAAGCCAACGCUUGACCAGCUUCAAUACAAAAUCCUAUCACAGUAUCCAAAUCCACUAUCUGCCUAAUAGAUGCAUCUCUCUCCCCUCUGUCACCAGAAUGCAUACUUGCAGCAGCCGACUCAAUCAAUUCCCGGUUUGAUCUCAGAGAUGUUUCUAUGCAGUUUACCAGGGCAGCUGUAUGUACUUUCAUCAUCCUAUCCAGCCGGUCUACUCCAUAGCCGCCAAAUAUACGUACAAACGCCUGUAUUUCCUUGAGGUCAGUGACCGACUCUGCAAAAUACCCUCCAACUGGUCUAGUGCUUUUGAAGUAUUUAUGCCUCGGUGCGAAGAGGAUUCCUGCGCCAGACACAUCCUUGAUGAUGUUGUCCAUGUACCAGUUGCACACAACUUCAACUGCAGAUCCAGUGUUUUGCUGUUGUUCAGUAGGUUUCUCGAAUGAAUGCAAAGAAGAAACAGGUCCUGAAAAGGCUUCCGUGAGUAAAAUUUCUCGGAUGCCUUGAGUUAGGUCCAUGCUAACGUGUUGCUCUGCCAUAUGGACUAUGCUCAUGUGCCGCCUAAUUAAGGACUCCAAAACAGAAGGCCGUUGAAGAUCGUUAUCAGUUUGAAGUGCAGUCAGUAAUCUUCUCUUGAAGUUCCCAAGGAUGCAUUCUCUCAUGUACUGCAAAUAUUCAAUCGCCAAAAAAUUUAGUAAGACCAGACAAUUAGAGAGAAUAAUUCUCUUUAUUAGAACUUCUUUUUAAUGCAGGAGACAAACAAUUAAACAUGCAGCCUUUCCAACAGGAUUAGAACAGAGAUUUUGUGAAAUUUAGAAGAUUGCAAGCUCACCUCCCUUAGCACAAAUACGUGGUUUAUAACACAAAUAGGCUCCAUGUCGUUCAGAAUUGAACAGAGAUUAGUCAACCUUUGAAUCGCAGCUUCCAACCUGCCAUCACAGAGAGAUACUUAAGAUAGCGGUAUCUAAGGAGCACUGGUUGUAUAAAGAAAAAAACAGCUUCAGGCUAGACUUGGGCGCUCACAUUUUGAUAGACUUAUUAUUCUCAGGAUAGCUCUCAUGGCCGGGCAAAGUAAACCCGCCUCCGCCUACAACUCUAGGGGAUUUCAUUGAAGGAGCAGAAAUUCUGGAUGCAUUAUUCAGAUACGCUGCAGCUUGUUCUGGAAGAAGCUGUGAAAGCUCAACGCAUCAGUCUGAGGACAGUAAUCAAAUAGAAGAUUGCUUUUGUUAUGCUAUUGAUUUUGGGUAGGAUUUAUGACCUGUGAUUCUAGAGCGCCAAACCCGCCUUCUGAAUCAAGAAUAUUUAUUAGUCCCUCCAGUCCCCCCAUUAUUGAUUCAAUAAGAGACUCAACGUAAAGCACUGCAUCUCGCCCGAAUUUGGUAACCUGUGCAGAAAGACAAGAAGAAGAGCCUUUCCGUUUAAAAGAUGGUGUCACUGAUAUAAGAAAAAUAGACAUGGGGGAUAAGACUGAGAAAAUAUGUGAUUCACCCAAAAAGAGAAACAAAUAUAUUGGUUUGUUUAAGCAAAAAAGGUGACAUGCUAAGGGAAACAUUCGAAAUCCAAAAGUAGCCAGUGGAACAUCAAACAAUCAACAAUUUGAUCUGUCAUAGCACAGAUGCAUAUACGAUAACGGAGUCAAUUCAGUUUCACAAUCACUUUCAUUAUUUAUUGCCAUAUUGAGAAUAAUAUGGUGCCCACUGGGAAGUCUUCAGCACUACUUGAUUGCAUGCAGAAAUUCAUUGAGAUUGAAAUAUGGAUUUACCUCCUCAGGAAUUAUUAGCGAAGCGCAUUCUGGGAAACUACUAGCCACACUAAGCCAUGCACAGCAAUGCUGGGGACGUCCUUCUGGUCCAAACAUUGUAUUUCUGAAAACCUUUUACAACAGUCAAAUGUCAGAUUAUGCAUAAGAUGACAAGGGCAAAUAGUGGACAGUGAACAGCAAGAAGAAGUAUACAGUUGUAAGGUGUUGAUGGUAGAAAUAUAAUUUCUUCAGACUGCCAUGCUUUGAUAAUUGAGACUCUAACUCAUCAACACAUCUGCAUUGAGAAGACGUGAAAUUCUGCAGGAUCUUAGUUUCACUGUUUUCCUUGCUAGAAGAUAACCAAGUAAUGAUCAUUUAAUGACGGGAACAGUACCUGGACCAGUUAUAUGCAGCAUUUCCUUCAGAUAACAAGCCCUCCUUCCCGGUAGAAACAGUGGCUUUUUCCAGAUGCCUGAUGUUUAUCGACGAUCGAGAAGAAGUCACAAUCAUCAAAAUGGACAACCAAUCUUUCCGGAAUUCCUGUACAACAAGAGGCACUGAGCAUCACAACAAAAGAUUGGAUGACUAAACAACAUAAUCUUGUUGGGGCCAGGCUACCAUUAGGAUUGGAAGACAGACCAAAUGGGAAAUAUAUGGAACAUGAGUGAAUCUACUAUCUAGGGUGUAUUGAUUAUCUUUGAAAGAAAAAAAGCAACUAUGUUUGACUUAAAAUUAGUGGAUCUAGUCUAGCUUCCUUACAGAUAGGUCACAUGUGAUUGCAGAAACAUUUUCUCCCUGCGGUUUGGGUAUAGUUUCAAGAAGUUGCACAAUAUGCUGGAAAAGGCCUUUUAAGGUUGGAUCAAGGUCCAGAGCCACGAUUCCAGGAGUGCCCAUCAAGUAACGAAUCCUUCCAGCAGAUGAAGAAAGAUAUGAUAGAGCAUAACCUCGAACAGCUGCAUUUCAAACAACAAAAACCCUUUCAGUUAUCGAAUUGUGAGCACCAGUACUAUCAGUGAGCUCUUCUCAUUGUUUCAAUGAACUCCAAUGGGUCCAAUACCAACGUUUCAAACUCAUGUACACAACCAAUGUCUGAGGAUGUGAAAUCUCAAAGUAACAAACCUGCGAUGUACUUGCGUACUAAACAACAGAGACGGUCCAUUCCGUCCAGCAGAAAGCCAAUGGUUGGAUCAUUUGGAUCCUAACAGAUAAUGAAUGAUAGAUCAGCAAUCAUACCCAAAUUUUGAGUUCACUAAAAGUCAAAGUUACAGUAUUGAGAGGCUUUUGAAGUUCAAGCAAACAACUUACUAUGUCAACUGGUAUCACUCGAGUAGAUUUGGAUCUUGAGGAUGCAAUACCAGCGUGUUGAAAAUACCAUAGAACCUCAGAUUGGGUCAAAGCCAAUGCAGAGAAUACCAUCUACGAAAAGAAAAGUAAAUAAAUCAAUCAUUGGAAAACUCCAGGGAAGGGAAGAACUCUUAUGAGUAUAAUACUGGUUCUACUGGAUAGGAGGCUUUGAUCUGUGCAAACAUAAAAGACACAUAUGGUUUGUGUCCUUAUCUCCUUAAGAGGACGAGACAGCAAUCUUGCAAAACUUUUCAUUUUGACACUUUUAGUAGACCAGUGUUCCUAGUGAAGCAUUCUGGUUUUUUCUUUUCUUUUCUGAAAUUUAAAUAGCAAGUGUCCUUUCUCCUUGUUCUUUCUUCAUUGGCUUCACUUGGAAAAUAGAAUAGCAUUUUCGCAAAACUCUUCAUUUGAGACUUUUAGUAAGUCCUUCCUACGAAACCAGUCUGUUUUAUCUGAUUUACCCACAAUCGUGUAUCAUUACGGUCCCUAUUCGAAUUGCAAGCUUUGUACACCAAAGUAAAGCCAAUCACUGACACAAGCUAAACCUUUAACCCUAGUAUGCAACAGACUAAACCUAAGUAACAAGGAGAGAAGAUACUCAACUGAAACAUCAAGCUUACCUGAAUGUUUGGAGCCAAUAAACUUGGUUGGUCAGUAAAAAAUAAAACCAUCCGCCCUAUUUCCUGCUUUAGCAAUAUUCUCCUUUCUCGGUGUAUGGUAUCACAUAAUUGCAAUGCUUGCUCAUGCACCUCACUGAAAGCAGAACAACAGUAAAUUUAUAAAUUCAAAAGCUAUAAUCUUUGUAAAAUCACAAGCUUAGAGAAAAGCGACAAUUCUCCAGUAUCAUAUGAGGAUUAGGAAGUCAGAUGCGGCUCAUAAAACCAUAAGAAUUGAACUAAAAUUUGGAGUUACCUGAUCAUUUUCUCAACUUGCUUUGCUACACUAUAUUCUAGAUCAGCUUCCUUUUGUUUAGUCCGACCAGACUUUGCCAUCUUCUUUGAUUCUAACACACGGGGUAAAACAUACAACUGGUAGUCCUCAUGCAACAGGAUAUACUGCAUGCAGGUAACAGAGUAAGCUGAUGCAAACCAAUCAAUCCAAAACUCUUUGUCGCAGACCAUUUGAAGUUAACUCACCUCAUCCCGGAAUAAAGUCACAACUAAGUUUUCCUUUAGCACAACCUGAAAUCCAACAGGGCAAUUAAACAUUUCUUAGAGACAGCAUGACUUACACGCACUCUUGAAAAGAUAUGGAAGCUUUUUGUCUUGUACAUAAAAAUCCUAAAUCCAUUACUACUAAUCUUUAAAUAAAUAAACAAUUCAAAUACAAGCACAUCAAAUUCAGAUGACCAAAAACAAGCAUUCCAAUAACAGAGGCAAAGAGAGGCAGAUAAUACUAAUUUGAAAAACAAAUUUAAUAAAAUAGUAUUAUUGACCAGAUCAGCUAGUUUUCAAUAUAGAAUUCUUGAGGAUAUGCCAAUUGAAAUUCAAUCCAAUCUCGUCGAAGAUAACUUUGUGCUUCUUUAUCAAGCUCUCAAUCGAGAAUGAAAGGAAAAACAGAUUCGUACCAGGGCAAUAUCAAUGCUAGUAACACGAAGAAGCUCGUCAGGGCAAACUAGAUAUCCAAGAAGCACCCAUUCUCGGUACGAAGUAACAUUUGCAAGGUCCUGCGCUCUCUGUAGGAAGCAAUAGGGUGAAAUAUAUGCAGUUAUUAGCACUACACAUCAGGAAAAACGUUAUACGGGAAAUACUACAGCAUCCUACUAAUUCAGAGAAUCUUGAAUUUAAGUUGAUAAGUAUCUAGCCAUUCAAAAGUACCAUGGGAUGAGCAGAAUUUGUAAGUAUAUCUGGGAAUCGAGGAUGGUAUGGACUUAAAAAUCCCUCAUUUCUCAACUUCCUUGUAUCUGCAGAUAGAAAUAUACUGGGUCCUACGGCCUCCAGGACCUAAGAAAAUGAGUUACAUUGUUAGUACGGAUGUAAAUUGCAGUAUUAACUCGUUGUAAUACCCCUUCAUUUUUUUAUUUGGAUAUAAGACGUGCAGCCUCAACUCUUACAAUCCAACGAAUUCUACUAAGCAUAAUUACCAAAUCAAACUAAGUGGAAAUAUUAACCUCUCCUAUCCUUGGGCUGACAAAGUUCAAAUCCUCUUGUAAGCCUUUCAAUGGGGGAUCAUAAGAGUCUAUGAAUUGCACCAAGCUGGAUGCAAGACGAAGAGUGUUAAUUCAUUAUAACUCCCAUAUUGAUUAUAUAUCAAUUAAACAAUGACACUACAAGGGAAAAAAAGAAAAGAAUUCAUACCGGUGAUAAAAGUCACAGUCUCGAUCAUUUCUUGAUAGCGCAUGCAGAAGGUUGUACACUUGCAGCAACAUUUUUCUAGGAAUCUACUUUGAUAGAAUAAACACUCUUAGAGAUUGAUAAUAAAAUAAGAGCAUGCCUUAUCUGACAUGUGCGAUAAUAAAUCCAGAUGAACACUAGGAAAAGGAAUAAGCUCUCAGCAUACCUUCUCUGCGAAAAGAUUGACUCGGACAAAUGCACAAAAGAGAUCCAUAAAUGCAUGCAGUAUAAGUGAGUUCUGAUGAGGCUGCAAAAAACUGAACUAAGUUAUGAGCUAAUCAUGAAUACUCAAUAGUUUUUCAUGCUCCACCCAAGGUAUGAGUCCAAAAGAGAACUCAAACUUUUAGCCAAGAGCAAAACAAUACUUUCCGCAGAUGAGGGACUGUGACUCACCAGCAAGGUAAUUACAGUGCUGCUGAGGUCCAAUAUAAGCCGUAGUGCCUGUUCUCGAAAUGCCAUCAAAUCGAGCAGCAGCUGAUUUAAAAAAAUAAAAAAUGGGUGACGGAAGGAAAAUGAAGGCAUCCCUACAAAAAUUCUACACACACACUGAAAAUAGAAAUCUAACAGAUAACCACUUUUUUACACUUUAAAAGUUCAAACCAUGUACUAUGUACAUCAUACAUGCGUGCGCACAUAUACAAGACUGGUUCAUGGUGAGACGGAAUAUAAAGAAUAAAGCAAAAUUAUAGAAGCUUGACUAUGCACUAUGCAGCAUGUAAGACUUCUGAGAUGCUUCACUAUUUUCGAGAAACAAUUGUCAGUACAACAGAACAUAUCCAACAACAUAUUGCAUAGACAGUUUCUUAUUACCUGUAUCCAUGGCUCUAAGCUCUGCAAGUGAAGUUCAGCACCAUCAUGCAAGCUAUCCAGUGAAAACUUGUCAAUCUGCAUAAGUAUUGCAAAAAGAAAAAAAAGUUAGCAUAUUUUUUGUUACCAUCACAGCAAACAAAGCACAUAUUAAGCCUAAUAUGAAGAACUCAUUACUUACACGUUCGAGUUGCAGUUUGCUGAAAUGCUCGGGGAACUUUUUGGAGAGCAAUGUACAUAUCCGCGGAUGAUUAGGGAACACACCCGCUUUCCAAAAUGCUUCAGAGAAUACAUGACCAACAGGAUCUGGGUACUCCAAGAUUUGGUUCAGUCUAUACAUUUUAGCCAUGAUACCCUCUGCAACCUCAAUCAUUUGAACUACCCAUUGUAUGUUCAAAGCCUUUGUGGAACCACCAGAACUCUGAACAUGCCCAUCAGAACUCAUAUGCUUUGAGCUCCUAGACGACACUGAUGAAGCCAUUUCAGGUCCCAAGUACUCAGUCCAUCUGGAAGGACCUUCCCAUUCCCUUGAUCUCACAGACGACGGAGACAUUGACUCGUCUUGAGAAGGAUAAUAUUGACGAGAAUUCGCCAUUAAUGAUCGAAAUAAUAUCUGCAAUAAGGGGAAACUCUUUUUCAGAAUCACAUUACACAAUCGCGUCUAAAAAAUUCACUUAAGUUACUGUCAAGGCUCAUUCCUCUUUCGAAACAGGACAGAAAAUUCCUUGACUCAAGGAUUUUGCUUUUAAAAGUCGGGAAGAGAAUUCUCCCAAAAGAAGAAAAAUUUAACAAACCCAGUAAUUCUCAACAACACCUCGUCAGCGAGAAAAUGAGGGAAAAUUAGAGUGAGGCUCUUUUGCAUCUGAUCUUAGAAGAUAGCGAAUUUAAAGUAGCGAUGAGUCAGGAUUGAUGUCUCCCUCGCCAUUUUCUCAGAAACUGAACAAGGAGCUAUAUCAAAACUAAAGGUCAAGCAAGAGUCUCGUGAAGAUUGAAGUUACCUGAGGAAGCUCCAAAGGCGAAAGUCAAUUAGAAAAAAAAGCCUCAGUAAGAUCGUAGCUGCGUCUUGGAGUUCAGAUCUGAGUUUCUGCAACCUUCUCCGGAGACGAAGACGGCGAAGAAGAGGAAGAGGACGGGAAAGAAGAGGGAGAGAGAGAGAGAGAGCCGGCCUCAAUCGGAGUAUGAGCCGAAAAAGAAUUGCUAAAUUUUGGGUCUCAUUUAAGACAAGCUAGUCAGUAGAAUUUCUUUCAUUUUCCAAUCUCUUUUUUUUUGGCUUAGAAAUUUUACCUUUUUCCUUUUUUUGGUCAGAACACAUAUUAUUAUUUGUGGAAAUUUGAUUUAAUACUCUAAAAAAAAUUUGUAUAUUUUGAAAAGUAACCAUUUUUAAAAAUCUUUGAAAAGUAACUUUUUUUACCUUUAAAUUUAAAAGAUUUCUGACGACGAAAAAGAAUAUAAAGAUUUCUAAAGAGAAUAACAAUCUAACUUGUUGAACAAAGAAAAAAGCCAAGGUAAGCAGAAUAUGUAAGCAGGAGAAAUUAUGGGCAAAUGAAUUUUCUUUGCAUUUCAAAUUUUCAAAACGGCAAAAAACAUAUUAUCAAAUGGUAAAUAAACCAAAAUAUGAAAAUGAAGAUACUGUAUACUGUAUACCAUUACGUUAACGUUUACUUGUUUUUAUUUUAAAAAUGAAAUUCUGUUAGAAAAACAACAAAUGCUCUGGUUGGGUGGUUGAAAUAUACAUUUCCAAAGCUUUGACAAAAAUGAGGAUAAGUCUCUUAACUGGUAAUUCUAACAUUUAAGAAAAUAGAUAAACACUAAAACAAGAGAUCAGAUAAUUAAUGGCAACCAAUACUACUUGUAAUUAUCAAUACCUCUAUACAUAUCAGCUUUUAGGUGUAAUAAUGGUCAAUUAUUCUUGAAUUACUGUGUUAAACAGUAUGGUUUUACUAAUGAUUAAUGUAUCUGACGUUUCUGGUGAUGUCAUCGUGGCGAUUCAGUCGCUCUUCAAAUACCGGUCGGGGUCACCAUUACCCAAGCAUUCCAUGUUUUUGUUUGUUUUUCAAUAUAAUUAUUUGUUUGGAGAAAUUCACUACAGUGUUUUAUUAAAUUCAGUACCAUUUAUAUAUCAUUAUAUUGAAUGAAUAAACGAUAAAAUGAAAUAUUGGUGUUGGUUUAAAUCAGAUUGUAGUUUUCUAAUACAUUAUAGAGAAUCGAUUUAUACAAAUUUUUAAACGUUUUGAAUGUAUAAUAUGGUGAUAUAUACAUGGUAAAAUCAUAUUUAUAUCGAUGGAUGAUAUCUUUCAAAAUGCGUAAAACAUUAUUUCUUUACCAUCAACGUAUUAAGUUACUUUGUCUUCGUAGCAAAUAUGAUACACACACACACAAACAGAAAGAAAAUAACGUAUGAAUAUUUUUUUAUACAGAAAUAAUAAGAAUACUUAAAAUUCAAAAGUAAAGAAAAAAAAGAAAAUAAUAAUUAGGGUUGACAGCGCAAGAAUCUUGUAUUACAAGGCACAUUUUGUAGCUUUGUUGGACAAUUGAGGCUAACAAGCUUGGCUUCCACAAUAAGCAACAAUGAUUCCAAAAUCUUUUACUCACUGUGCACAUAUCAUUGCAUCACAGAUUUUUGUCUCCUUUCACAUUUAACGGUUGAGGUUUAUAUCUGAACCGGAAAAUAACAAAAAAACACAGUUUCAUACAAUUGCUACAAUAUCUGCACCUAUAUAUCUUUUGUUUGUACGAGUAUUCCAUUAGAUUCUUGUCCCUUUGUUGAAAGAUAUAAGUUAUUUGUCUCUUUAGCUGGAUCAUUUCUUUCUUUUUUUUGUUCAUCUGAGCAAUUAUUUCCUGAAUCUCAAUGGUUGAGUGGAAGGGUCUACGACUGUAAUUGUUGGUAUCAUCAUCAUGUAACUCAUGUAAAUACUUAAAAAGCUUAUGUUUACAUCAAAACUCGUUUAAUCAAUCUCGUAAACAAGGAGGGAAUCAAAUCAUUCAGGAAUUGGUUCUAUAUAUUAGUACCUAUAACUGAUUAUGUUGUUCAACUAAGUAACGAGGCCAAAUGAGAAACAAAGAGGCAACAACUCUUAACUCUUUGAAAGAUAUAAAAACCAAUGUAAACCCCAAAGCUAUUAUUCUCUACUAUUGUUCAAACAAUUUAAUUUAAAAGAGAAAAAAGGACAUGAAAGAAAGGAACCAGGCAUCGAAAUCUUCAGAAUUUUAUUGAUUUAUCCAUUGACACAGAUCGAGAUUUCGUCUUGAUCCUCGUUUGAGAAGAGAAGAGAAGACAACAAUCUGUGUAGCAGUGGAAGCUUCUAGAAAGAACUGGAAUAUAAACUAAGCUCAGUGCUUGGCGUCUUCUUCCUCGCAGAACUUGGAGUAUUUCUCUGAAUCCAUCAGCUUCUGUGCCUCACCUGCAUCACUCACCUCCACCUUUAUAAGCCAUCCUUUAUCAUACGGGCUCGAGUUCACCUGUGAAUCCAACAAAAGAAUCUCAGCUCCAGACCACGGAAUCACAAGAAUCCCCAAAAUUUAUGAUGUUUUACAUCAUGUAAGCAAUUCCUGUCGAUGAAUCAAACAAAUAAGCAAAAUCUAUACUGGUUUACCCGUGAAUCAAGAUUCUCAAAGUUUCAGACUUUUCAUUUUCAUAAGCUAGAAAGAACUGUAGAAGAAUCCAGUGAGGAAGCAAUUAUAAUCUAUACAUUCAUCCUCCGUGAAUCAAGAAGACAUUUACAUUAAAUAAAACCGUCGAAUAAUCGAAUGAGUAAGCAACGAAUGUCACCCGAGGAGUGAAUUUGUUGCUAGCAAUUUGCAUAAAAAUCAAAUGAGACCAGCAACAAGAUUUCGGAUUUGGUCAUGAUGCAGUUGUUCAAAAAGAGUUUUAUCUCAAAUUAACAAAGGGAUCAAUGCUCUAAUAUGAGUUUUCAAAAGAGAGAACUCACCAAUCCAGGGGACUCGGUAAGCUCCUCAUUUACUUCAACCACCUUGCCAGAGAUUGGAGAAAAGAUAUCACUAGUGGCUUUCACGCUUUCGACCGCUCCAAAACUCUCACCUUGUGACACCGAAUGUCCCAUAUCAGGUAAUUCAACAUAGACCACAUCACCCAAAUGGUCCUGUGCGUGAUCCGUUAUACCAAAGGUCGCUUUUUUCCCCUCAAUCUUCACCCAUUCAUGUGAAUCAGCAUAUUUCAGAUCCUUCAAGACCACUAUAUAAACACAAGCGUAAAGGAAGAGUAUAACCUAGUAAGGUUAAAUGGCAAAAUAUUCGACAUUCCAACACGAGAACAAUAAAAAAAAAGUUACAUAGUUCCACAACAAAACCAUUGACUUAUCAGGCAGAUUCCAGAAUCUUACCUAAAUCUACAAUGAAAAGAUACUGAUUUUACAAAGCAAACCAACAAAAAAAGAAAAAAAAAAUCACACAAAACUAAAAGCAUGUAGUCGUGCAAAUGAUAAGUAUAAAACGGGAGAAAAUGCAAACAACAUGAACUUCACUACCUUCAAGUUUAUGAACACUGUUAAGAUGAUUAUUAUUAACAGAGCCUCGAGGAAUCGAAUGCAAAUUUCUGGGAUUGAUAAGAAAAUGGAGAAAUCGAAGGUAUUAGCGAUAUACAAUCGAUCCAACAAAAAAAAGGAUUUGCAAAAACAAUAAUUUGAAAGCCCGCUUAUAAUCCGAUCAUCAUGAACAACCAAAAACCAAUGUUAUUCAAAUAGAUUCAACAAUCAGAGAGAAAAAACCGAAGAGAUCAAACAAAGAGAAAUCAAUCAACAAAUUAACAGAGAUUGAGAUUCACCCGAGGAAAACCCUCGUUGGGCAACGGAGAUCCUUAGAUAGGAAGCAACCCUAGAAGCCAACAAGAAUCUAGCAGCCAUUUUUUCGUGGAGAUCUCGAAGCUCAGAGAAAACGCCGAUACACAACAACAGUGACAGAGAGUGCACUCACCGAUCGGCUUAUUAAUAUAUUCUUUCGACAAAAGGGUUUGGUGGGUUUGCUUUUUUUUCCUUAUAAUUAAUAAACAAAUCCAGUUUUUCCAUAAAAUAUCACUUUCUGAAUGAUUAUGCUCGUGGACCAAUUUCUAUUCAACCACCCACUAAAGCAACAUUUUAAGGAUUAUGACAUUAGACCAUUUACUAGAUAACAUGAAUAAUGUACAUUCUGAUAUCAAAAAUCCAAAUUUUACUAAGAACCCACAGGUAAGGAUUUAGCCAUUAGCUCUGGGACAAGAGAACUCACAGACACACCCUUAUGCAUUGUCCUAAGCACAGAAGUAACUUGUUCCACUUGAUCCUCACUACAACAAGCCGAAAGAAGAACCUUAGCUGUUCCUCCAUCUGGUGCACACCCCGAAUCAAUCAUCUCCUCAAAAAUCUCCAGACAUUUCACAUACAGUUUCUUCCUCGAGUAAGCACCGAUCCUCGAAGUCCAUGUCACAACGUCAGGUCUGAAAUUCCUCUCCUUGAGCUCACCAAAAAGCUCUUCAACUCUAUCCAAGAACCCGGCUUUACCAUAGACAUUGAUCAAGAUGUUGUAGGUGCUUAUAUCCGCGUUGCAAGAACCGUUCUCCAUCUCGGCCAGAAUCUUUUCCAUCUUAGUGAAUUGUCCUAACCGGCCGUACAAGUUGAGCAUGCUGUUUAUGACAAAUGUGUCUGGUUCUACUCCGUUUUCGCUCAUCUCUUUCACAAUGGCUUCGCAUUUUGUUACGUCUCUUGCUCUGGAGUAAGCCGAUAGAAGCAGCAUGUGGGAUUUCAUCGUCGGUAUUAUGCCAAGCUUCUUCAUUUGUUCAAACACAGCUUCUGCAUCUGUUUCACCCACAUAUAUAAAAAGAGAGAAUUUACGUAAUGCUAAAGAUAGUUUCUCUGUUUUACCUGAGUGAAGCCCUGCUCUACCAUAAGCAUCAACCAUGAUAUUGUAGGAUGCUCUGUCUGGUUCGAUUCCCAUAUGUUGCAUCAGAGAGAAAAUCUCAGCAGCACCAUAAGGAUAACCUGCACGACUGUCUCAGGAUUUUGAGAACGUUAAGUUUAAGCUUUUAUGGUUUCUUGGAAGCAGUCUCUAUAGGAGAGUAAUAUAGGUUUAGUAAUCAAUCACCUAUACGCCUCCAUGAGAGCGUUAUAGACAUAUACAUCAGGUUCAAGCCCAUCUUCUUGAAGCUGCUCAAAUAUUUCCUCAGCUUUCUCGCAAAGACCUUCUCUAGCAAAUGCAUUCACGAGCGCAGUGUAUGAGCAGAUGUUGCGUUUACAUUGGUGGCUUCCCAUUUCACAAAACAGCUUCCAGGACAUGUAUGAUUUACUUGCCUGCAAGAAAACCCUAUGACAUGAACAUUCACUUUUCUCAAGACCUAAAUUUGUGGAAACUACUAUUGUAUGUUCAUAUCAAACGACCUUUCCGUAUAGAUUUAUCAUCAAGUUGUAUGUUUCAGUGGUUGGUUUGCAUCUAUCACGCUUCAUCCUCUGGAAAACAUCGAUUGCUUCUUCGAUGUUUCCUUUCCUCUUCAUCAACCCCUCAAUAUAUGCAUUGUAUACAGUAGCACCUAUAAAAGCACAAGAUUAGAUCGAAAACUAGUAGAAUUUCUUUAUCUGGAGUCUCUCAAAACAAGAAAAUUCUAUAACAAUGACUGCCAAUGUUUGGAACCAAUACGUAUAAGAGCUUAGGAGAUGCAGAGACAUACUUGGAGUAACAUGAUGCUUUUGCAUCUCGAUUAAAACGGCUUCGGCUUUCUCUAUGAGCCCGGCCAAACAGUAGGCCUUUAUAAGAAGAGCGUACGUGUCUUCCGUAGGCACGCAGCGAGAUUCAAGAAGUUGUACAUAGAGUGAUUCCGCCUCCUUGUACCGGAACUUCUGUCCAUAAGCAUCUAUAAGCAAAUUGAAGCAGAUUACAUCAGGCUGAAAAGAGCUCCUCCUUAAAAUCCACUCACACACCUAAGACAAGAUCGUAGCUUCAAUGAUCAUGAUGUCCAAAAUUCUUUUCUCAAGGCAAGAAUUGUAGGGUACAAGAUCGAGUCAAAAACUGAAACAGAAUUCCAAGAAAGCUAACCAGGAUAAUGAAAUCCCAUUUCUUGUUCAAACGAAGUUGCACAGCAACAUUGAUGAGAUCAUCCCAUGAAGCAUGCGUAGAAGGAAGAGUCCCGAGGACAUCUGCUACUUUUUCAGGAUCAGUUUCUUUCUGAAUAAAGCUCAGAAUCUUCUGAGCAAUGGGACUCAGAACAGGGAAAAUCCCAUCGACAAACCCGGAUCCAUAUUUCCACCCUCUCCCCCUCAAAGAUCCACCUUUACAUAUGAAAAACCAAAAACCAAAUAUUAAUCGCAAUUCAAAACAUAGACUUACAAGCUUAAAAUCUCACAGAAGUUCAAAAGAAACUGAUCCUGAAAUGAGUCUUACAUCGUCUCCUCGAGAGUUUCUUCCUGUUAAAUCUUUUUAAUUUCCCUCGUUCAUCUAUGAAAAACCCUUCCUUUUUACAGCAUUUUACAGUCCCGCUAGUGAAAUGUGUCACUCUAAAACCCAAAUAUCUGUGGAAGCCACUGGGAUCUAUGAAUAAGCAAUUCAAAGCGUUUCCAGCAACCAACCUGUCAAUCAAAACCCAAGUUCAUGGAAAAGUUGAGAACUUUCAUUUAGUUUAAAACCCCAAUUCUCAAACUUUGUUUCACCAAAAACCAUAACAACAACCAGCAGAAAAAUGAACUAAAUUGACACAGAUAAUCCAUUAGAGAGAAGAAGGCAACGUUUAAAGCCGAUUCACAAAAGCACUAGUUAAUGUACAAAAAAUCACUUUUGACUCGUUUUUGUAAAAAGAAAAAGCGGGAAACAUGAAGGAUGGAGACGGAGCUAUCAGAAGAAAUCCGAAGAAGAAGAGAUAAAAGGGUAACAUCAAGUGGCACAAACAAACUGAGAAAGCAGAGUGAGAGAGUGGAUUCUUCUUACAUGACCAGAGAGAUGGAAUGGAGAGAUAUGUAUAUUAUUAUCUGCAAUUUUCCAACUCUUCUCCGUCUUCUUCAACGGUGUAAAGAUGUAAAAGGAGGAGGAUAACGAGUCGAAAGGAGAGUAUCCGUUAACUAGAGGCUGAGGCCUCUAAAAGGUCUGCAAGCUUCAUUUGUCUCCUUGCUUCUUUUUUUUUUCUUUCUUUCUAUAAUUUGAAAAACAAUCAAAUAAAGGGAAAUUUUUGGUUUGGAAAACUUGUGUUAUUCAAUUUAUUUAUAAAGAAAAACCCAAAACGACAUGAAGAUCUUAUUUGGGCCAAAAAGUAGGAGGAUGAUAUUUUGUUUGCUAUUUCCCGGAAUAUUUAUUAUAUAUAGCCGAAAGAUAUGGAAACGGGAAAAAUCCCACUCGCUCUUGAAUUUUGCCAAAAUAUCAGGUUUGCUUCGAUCUCCGCACCCUCGCCGUUUCCUUUUCUUUUCUUCCGAUAUUACUGAAAAAACCCUAAUCGCGAAAUCUCACUAUAAUUCCUAAUCUUCUUCUCUGUUCAUGCGGUUUUGAUUUCAAUCGAUAUUUUCGAGCUCGUUUAUUGGUUUUGCAUGUUUUUUUUUUUUCUGUUUUUUGGUAGACGUCGAUUUUAAACCAGGAACUCGAAGCCGUGAUCUCCUCCAGGUCUUAAUCUUUACCAUCAUUGGUAAUUUGGUAACAUUGUCUUUCUGCAUUGCUUUUCUGAAAUCUUCCUUUAGCUUUCAUUGAGUUAUCGUUCUCAAUGCCUGAUUGUUUGAUUAUCCGUAAUCGUAAAUAUGCUUGAGAGAGACAGAGUUAUGUCAGCUUUCAUUUAUGUGUGAAUAUUCAAUUGCGUCAGUAAGUAGUGCUAUUUAUUUUAGAAUUACAUUAGAUUGUCAAGUUGCUUGUGAUCUUUGGCCAUGAAUUUUCAGACGGAUUUAUCCACAUUUUUUCUUUUCGAGAAGUGAUUUUGCUAUAUGUUAAUCAUGUGUUUUAACUAUACUAGUUGAAAUUCGUAGAUCAACACAAGUUUUCUUAGCUUUUAAUGAUUAUCUUGUGGAAAAAGUUUUUUUUUUCUGCUCAUCUAUCUUGCUGUAUUGGCUUCACAAGUCUCCUGAUUUCUAGUACCUUCUCUAUUCGGUAAAUGGAGGAAAAUUAGUUGUGUUGUUAUUUUAGUUUUCUGAGACAGCAUGCCAAAAUAUCGGAGGAUGAUGGAAUCCAAUGGUGCUUCUGCUUCUGCUUCUGGACAAGAGCCAGAGUAUGGUGCGAUUUUCAUGUCCAAUAGCUCAACAAGAAAGGAGUGCCUCAAGCGAGGCCUUUUCGGUUUGCCAAUUGCGCUAGGCGGAUUUGUAAAACAGGUCAAAGCUGGAAUGCUAUUGUUUUUGUUUGAAUUCGAGAGUAGGGAGCUACAUGGUGUGUUUCAGGCAUGCUCUGAUGGUGCAAUAAACAUUGAGCCCAAUGCAUUCUGCUCUUCUGGGAAACAGUUUCCUGCUCAGGUUCCUUGGAUGCUCUAUUUUUUUUUAACUCCUCGAGUUUUUGCUUUUACCAAGUUUUGUGGCCAACAUUGUUUUUGUCUUGAUCCCAUUUUCUUAGGUCAAGUUUACUGAGAAGUGGCAUUGUAGGCCACUUUGUGAAAGGGAGUUUCGUCAUGCUAUUAGUGAUAAUUACUUUACGCCAACAAAGUUCAAUUUUGGGCUCUCAAAGGCACAGGUGUGUGGUUAGUUUUCUCCUGUAAAAUCUAAACACUGGUGAAUUAUUAUGGUUAUUUCCUCCACUUUUCCUUGUUUAGCCUAUGUUAUGCGUAUUGCUUUACUUUCCUAUGUAGUCUGAUACACUAUGUUUGACAAUGUUAAUUAUAGGUCCAAAGGCUAUUGAAGUUGUUUAGCUCUAAGAAGGUAGAGAGACCACGACCGAGGAAAACUGCGGUUACAAAGUCCACAAAAAAUUCUGAAAGUAGCUUGAGAAAUACAGCUGGUGAUCGCGGCCUUAGGAAUCGUUGUCCAGAAGAAACUGAUAAAGAUGCUGUUCGUGAGUUUCCCCUCCGAGGUACAUCUGCAAGAGAUCGUCUUGGUCGUAGGUUAACUGAAAAUUAUGGUUUGGCGGAUGAAGCUGAUAUUGGCGUAGAAAUUAAAGAGAAUGAGUACUCUGGAGACGCAUCUGAGGUUUGCAGGAGACUCGUUGAUCCCAAAAUGCAUGUGUCAAAGGAUAGAGUGGGAUAUGACUUGAGCAUGAAUAAUAGCUCUAGGACAGAUGCUUUGACUUACUCUGACUAUAUUCUAGUUAAUGAUCCAAGAGUCCCGAAGAACUUAAGACACACCGCAAGUGGCUGGUUAGGAAAUGAGUACCAUGGAAAAGCUAGUAUCACACAGGCAAGUUCGUGGUCUAAUCACGAGGAACGCCUUAAUAUUGAGGCAGAUCCAGUGGUUCCUGCUCAAAGCUCAGUACCUCCAGAAUCACUAUAUGGAACAAACACUGGAUGCUAUGACCCUUGUGAGCCGGGGAUCAUGGGAUAUGCAACUAUGGAAAGCUCUAGGCAUGAUCAUGGUGCACCAAAUGUUGAUUCAAUGGGCUCAGCUUCUUUUAUACCCAAGUCAAAUCGUGUUAUGAGAGAAGAAAUUACACCUGUUGGUGGUUAUGUCAGUGACACCUUGCCCUCUGAGACAUUUCAACCAUUUCCUGAUGAGCAUAAUGAUACAAACAUGAACAAGACUAGUAGUCUGGGCUUGGAUUACUAUAUUCCAAUGCCUAUUGAACAUCCUGAAUACCAAACUAACUCUGGCAUUAAUGGAGUUGCUUGUUCUGAAUCUGAAUCUAGAUAUGGUCAUCUGCGUCAUUCUCAGUUUCCUGCUUUCUUAACCUCUGCAGAAGCCACUGAGAGCAUGCGGAACUCUGAGAGGCUGUCUUACUCCAGCCGCAGCAUCUUCCCUUCCUUUGCUAAUCCUUUAUCAUCAGGGGAUUUGUCUCCUAAGUACGGAGUUAACAAUGAAAUUUCAGCAUAUCAACACCAGGAAGGAUUUGAAGGUCAUGCUUCUUAUUCAAAUGAUAUGGUGGUUCAUGACUCCAGAAUUUACCCUUCUUUUUCAUAUCCUUCAAGGUCAGGGGAUGGAGUUGACUUGUAUCCAGAGAACAGAACUCAGGACAUAGUGAUUCGAAAGGAGGAACUUGUUAAUCCUGCUGAAUUUGAGAGAAAGAGAACCAGAAAGAGCGUCUUCAGUAGGCUUGCUAUGCCUUCAAAAGAGAACCAGAAAGAGGAUACUUCUUCGGACACUGAAUCAGUCGAUGAGGUCAUGGCCUUUCUAAAAGACUGUCACAAACAUUGGAUGGAGCAAAAAAGACCAAAGAUGAGUAACCAUGAGGUUCUUAGAAAACCGAAGAAGAAAAACAAAAAGAUUCAUACACCAGAGGUACUUGACACUGAUUUGAUUCUUCCUUUUAGUGAGACCACCCCAGAUGACCUGUUGGAUUGUGAAGAAAGUAUGGAACAUAGUGCUCAAAAACGACCGUUCAUUGAUUUUAGGCGGCGUAGCAAAAAGAGCCGUGAAAAUCCAACACAAGGGUGUAAAGAGAGCCCUGAACAUUCAGCUCCUCAAAACAAGAAAAGGAAGCUGCUGAGGCCGAAACUCAUUGAAGAUGACUCGGAAAAGGAUAGAGGAAACAACGGUAAUCCUAUUGAAAAUGUCUUGGCCUCACAGUCAGCUAAGGAAGUCCCCUUCCAUGACCUCCAUGGACGUAGUGAUCAGUAACCACUCAAUGGAGUUGGAAACACUAGAGGACAGAGCAGGGCCUCUUCAAGUAUAUGUUUUUACAGUUGAAGUUGCGGGUCGUUCCCUGGCUUUUGUGUCUUUUAGUUUCCUCCUAAUACGAAGGCGGUAAUUUUGGUGGUGUAAGUGUAUCUGUCUUCUUAAUCAUUUUUUGGUAGAAGCACAGUUUGAGGUAGUUGGGGAGUUUAAUGCUGAUGUCAAAAGCAUGAGUUUGGUUCACAAACUUUGUUAAAGUGAAACUAGACAGCUAAAUUCCUUGUACAGUUUUAAACUGACGAAUGCAAAGUUUCGAGUUCUUAAGGCAAAAGAUAAAAACCAUAUACAGGUUUCCUUAAGCUUUCAAGUUCAAGGCUUUUUGUGAAGAAUGGUAAACAAACAUACAUUAUCGUCUCUAAUUCAUAGCGUUAGGUCCAAAACAUCUGUUCCUAGUGAGAUCCCAAACCCAUUGAAUCAGAUACUUUCUUCCUUUAACCCCAUUCACAUUAUACACAUUCCUCCACCUAUCCUUAUACACACUCCCCAUGUACCCUCCUCCUCCUCCUGACCCAUACACUCCUAAACACAAAUCCGCAAUCUCAGUCGGUGCCAUCGCAUCCUCUCCUCCAUACCAUCCGUUCAACAUUGGGUUACUCGACACUUCCGCUAGCUCAUGAGCUAUCACACUGAUCAUCCCAUCGAUCGCUGCCUCUCCGUUUGGCGGUUUCAUUUUCUCUCUGGUCACAAACCCGCUCCCUGGAAACGGCUUAGGCUGCGCAAACGGGUAAGCACACAUCUCUGGACACUGUUUCUUACUGUUCCCAACCCAAACGUACGGUACUGUUGCACCAACUAUGCUUGGGAAAGUGAAGUAAUGAAAGCCGCAAAUCGCUCUGCAGAACUCUUGCAUCUCUACAUCAUCUGAGGUUAAGACCAAGUACAAGCCGUUGAGUCCGUUUAGUGGUAGCUUGGAGGUCACGGCAGUUUUGAUGAUAGACUGAACAGAGAAGCGAGUAAGGUGAGAUCCAUGGGAAUAGGUUGAGUCGUGGAACUCUCCGGACAAGACAAGAGUUUCUGUGAUGUUGGAACCUGUCUGGUCUCUGUAUAGCCUCACUGUCUUCCACCAGUCGGACACUGACGGGUACUGAAUCGGUGUUGGUGAAGAGACGGAGUAGAGGAAGUCUCGGAUUGUAGAUUGGUGUGUUGGGUUCCAUCGACCGUACCAUAUGAUGUAGAGACUUGUAGCCGGCGAGGAUAUGACCGGACCCAUGUGGUAUUGAAGGUUGACGAGAUCGGAGGAGCCUUCGUAGUUCUUGCUCUCGUCGAAGAAUUGUCCAUUGGAUGUGAGAGAGAGUGAGAGGAAGAAGAAGAAAUAAAUGAGAGAGAUCAUCUCGUUGGUUUUUUGCUUUCUAUGAUUUGGUAAGUAGAAACUAGAAACGUUGGAAGGUCGUUUUAUAGGGAGUGGUGUUAUAAAAUUUUGUGAAACUUCUUUGUAAAGUAAUUUCUCAAUUGGUAAUUUAAGUUUUAGUCAACUGAAAAUUGUGAAGGUAAAAGGAUCCACAAACCUUAUAAUUUGCAUCUGAAUAAAUAGAAAUGACAUAAAGAAGUGUAUAUGAUUUUACAAGGCCAUGUAUAUCAAAAUUACCUUAUAAAUAAAAACAUGUAAAUCAAAGAGGCUGUCGGUUAAGUACAACUUUUGAGCUUGAUUGGUGGCACUGUUAGAGUUAGACUGGAGAGCCCACUUCACCAAAAGCAUGUUUUAUCCCUAAUGAUUUCUUGUCAAAACUUAUUCGUAAAAGCUAAUGAAAAGUUGUAAAACCAUUAUUGCAUAAAUUAUUAUGAAACCCGAUUUCAAAAAGUGAAAUGCUCUCUCUGAUGCACAGAACUAAGAAAUUUCAAAAUUAUCUCUUAAAAAGAAAGUGAAAUGUUUCGAAUGUAACCUAGAAAACAGAGUAAAGCAUUAACAUAAAUAUAUGAUUAAAUAAAAUUUUAAUACAGUUGGGAAAGAGAAACCCAUCUGAUAAGUUACUAAAUCAAUAAAAUAUUUAAAAUAUUUACAAAAUCUGAUAUCCCUAUGACUGACUUUUAAACUAUGCUAUAUUGCUAUGCACAAGUUUUAGUAAUUUUUCUUUUUGAUAUGAUCAAAAGAAUCGAGGUUUAGCAUCUACUAUUUCCAUAAAUUAUCGUCGGUAGCCAAGUCACUUUCGUCACCACCCUUUAGCUGUUUCCCCUUCUAUUUAUGGUCCGGUUCAAGUAAAAAUAGGUAGAAAACAAUCUAUUAUAUAAAGACUCAAUUGAGUCUCACAAGUUUGACACAUCAGUAUUUAUUUUUUUAAUACAUCAAAUUAAAAAACAAUUAUAAGAGAAUUAAAUAAUUAAAUUAUAUUAAUUUAUUUUUUAAUUGAACACAGAAACCAAAAAAUAAGUGCAUAUUAAUUUAUGAUUCAUAGUGAAUUGCAAAUUAAUUUUCAUUUUGUAAGUUGGAAAGAUGAAAUUUCAAACAAUCUUCAAUGCUUUCUAAUAUCGACUCAAAAUUCCACAAGUCAAUAGGUUAGAUUUUUUAUUCUACGUCUCCUCUUUGAUUUAUGGGUUUUUGAGAGCUGCAUUAUAUCUCUUGUAUUGAAUUCAUUCUGGUUUUGUUUACGUAGACAUUGAUCCAUUUUCUUUAUAUAAAGACAUACCCACCGAUGACAACACUACCACCAGGACAAAGGGUUGAGAUUUGAAGUCUCAGACAGAAAUCAACAAAAACAAAGAAGAACACAACACUGUUUGAGCACAAAGAAGAAGUACGACAACAUGGAGAAGACACUUGGUGAGACGAGACAGAAAGUAGAGGAUAAGAUGGUUUUGAAGGGAGGAUUCGAAGUAGAGAGUAAGCUCUUAUAACUGUUCCCGUUGGGAAUUUGCCACUGAUUGUUAAGAAAAAGCUCAUCUCAAAAAAAUUAAACUAAUCUCAAACGAUUAGGUUCAAGUUAUGUUCAUUGUUUUUUUUUUUUUUUAAUUUUGAUUGAUUAGUCAAAGAAGACAAGAAAAUGAGCUGUAUUGUUUAAGCAAAUCAAUGACAAAACUUCAAGGUCAGCUCUUGAAAUUCUAAAUUCUAAUGAAAUUUAUUUUGAAUUUUGGUUGAAAGUCGCUUUCUUUAUUAUUCAAUGUAUGAUUUGAAGUUUCAGUUAUAAUAUUAAAUAUGAGAUGGUAGCUAUAAGUUUUCGUCAAGAAGGGAAGUUUGAGGGUGGAGUUUGAGACAAAAGUGUCAUAGAUAUGGGCAAAAAGUUGAUGUCAUUAUCCUUUGGUUGCCUGAUUGGCUUGUGUCUCAUCUAUUUUAGUAGGCUUCUGAUAUUCAUCUAUGAUAUCCAAGACAUGUUUGCAAUGGAAGGAAUGCGGAAUUUUUUUUAAAGGACUUAAUUCUUCAAAUAAACCUGUAAUAUAGACUGUGAACAGGACGAAUUUGUAGGGUUUAAUUUCAUUUAAUUUCAAUACUUGCUCUUUACUUCUAAGCCACCAAGUCUCUCGACAAUGACCAUCUUCCUAAAGCUCUUCCUAUUUGUAGUGAUUAGACAUAAGCUGAAAAACCAUUAAUAAGGUCAGUUUGGGAUAUAGCAUAUCAGGUUGCUUAACUACAUAUCGUAUUUUUCCACUCUCACUCUCUCUGCUUUAAUCUUUAACAAAAAAUAUAUGCGGAAACAUAUCUCUGAAUGAUGAAAAUACAUUAAAAAUAUAAUUUGGUGAAGAUAUUAAAUUUGUCUUACAAAAUACAUAUUUUUAUCAUUAAAAAUUAACUAACAAACAAAAAAAAUAGGUUGAGAGUAAUAAUGAAAAAAAUUUUGGUUGGGUGCAAAAAUAAUAAGUAUUACAUCUACAAAAAAUAAUGACUACAUUUUUACGAGUUCAUAUGAUAUUCAGAUUACCAAAUACAAAAAAUUAGAAUAUAUAAACUUAUAGAAAAAUAUCUAUUAAUAAAUUAUAUUAAAACAAAAAUCACAUUUAAUGACUAUAUUUUUACAAAUUUGGAUAAUAUUUAUAUUAUCAAAAAUAAAAAAUAGGUUAAUUUUGUAGAAAAAUGUAAUUUCAUAAUAUAUAUUAAAAAAACAAAACACCCACGUGUACACGUGAAUAUUCAUCUAGUAAUAAAUAAUAUCUCAUUUGCUUCUUUUUGAAAAUUUUCGAUUUUUUUUCCUCUUUCCAACUUGGUGUUUUGUAGGCUUAAUUAAUAUAAAUAUAUACAAAUUUUUAAUUAUAGUUGGAUCGUAAAUUAAUUAAAAUUGAGAUGGACCCUUUGUCUUUAGCAUCUCUUCCCAUCUCCCUUAUGAAAAAGACAAACCUUUCCUUCCUACGGAAAAUUGAUUCACUCCUUUUGGCUUUUAACCAACACUCUUUCUCCAGAAUCGCGAAUUGUUUUCCAUUUGGCCAAACCGGAAAUCAAAACUCAUAAAUUCCCGGUUUAGUGUCCCAUUUGGGUAAUAUUGUAAUAUAAUUACCUUUAAUUUGUAUAAAACUUAAGCUUAUGCACUUUUGCUAGCCGUCUUCGAAUUUUAAUUUCGUCCGGAAAGAAUAAUAAU
rnacentral:lncRNA from 1 species